UACGUAGGGUGCGAGCGUUGUCCGGAAUUAUUGGGCGUAAAGAGCUUGUAGGCGGUUUGUCGCGUCUGCUGUGAAAAUCCGGGGCUCAACCCCGGACUUGCAGUGGGUACGGGCAGACUGGAGUGUGGUAGGGGAGACUGGAAUUCCUGGUGUAGCGGUGGAAUGCGCAGAUAUCAGGAGGAACACCGAUGGCGAAGGCAGGUCUCUGGGCCACUACUGCGCUGAGAAGCGAAAGCAUGGGGAGCGAACAGG
rnacentral:rRNA from 1 species